CCUACGGGUGGCAGCAGUGAGGAAUCUUGGUCAAUGGACGAGAGUCUGAACCAGCAAAGUAGCGUGAAGGAUGACUGCCCUAUGGGUUGUAAACUUCUUUUAUAUGGGAAUAAAAUGUUCCACGUGUGGGUUUUUGUAUGUACCAUAUGAAUAAGGAUCGGCUAACUCCGUUCCAGCAGCCGCGGUACACGGAGGAGUCGAGCGUUAUCCGGAUUUUUUGGGUUUAAAGGGAGCGUAGGUGGAUUGUUAAGUCAGUUGUGAAAGGUGUCGGCUCAACCGUAAAAUUGCAGUUGAAACUGGCAGUCUUGAGUACAGUAGAGGUGGGCGGAAUUCGUGGUGUAGCGGUGAAAUGCGUAGAUAUCACGAAGAACUCCGAUUGCGAAGGCAGCUCACUGGACUGCAACUGACACUGAGGCUCGAAAGUGUGGGUAUCAAACAGGAUUAGAUACCCGGGUAGUC
rnacentral:rRNA from 1 species